rnacentral:rRNA from 1 species
AUUGAACGCUGGCGGAAUGCUUUACACAUGCAAGUCGAACGGCAGCACGGGGCAACCCGGUGGCGAGUGGCGAACGGGUGAGUAAUACAUCGGAACGUGCCCAAUCGUGGGGGUUAACGUAGCGAAAGUUACGCUAAUACCGCAUACGAUCUACGGAUGAAAGCGGGGGAUCGCAAGACCUCGCGCGAAUGGAGCGGCCGAUGUCAGAUUAGGUAGUUGGUGGGGUAAAGGCUCACCAAGCCGACGAUCUGUAGCUGGUCUGAGAGGACGACCAGCCACACUGGGACUGAGACACGGCCCAGACUCCUACGGGAGGCAGCAGUGGGGAAUUUUGGACAAUGGGCGCAAGCCUGAUCCAGCCAUUCCGCGUGCAGGAUGAAGGCCUUCGGGUUGUAAACUGCUUUUGUACGGAGCGAAAAGGCUCUCUCUAAUACAGGGGGCUCAUGACGGUACCGUAAGAAUAAGCACCGGCUAACUACGUGCCAGCCGCCGCAGUAAUAC